AGCAGCCGCGGUAAUUCCAGCUCCAAUAGCGUAUAUUAAAGUUGUUGCAGUUAAAAAGCUCGUAGUUGAAUUUCGGGAUUAGUACGUUGGUCGUGCCUUCGGUACGUACUGGUGUUACUGAUUCCUACCUUCUGACGAACCAUCAUGUCAUUAAUUUGGUGUGGCGGGGAAUCAGGACUGUUACUUUGAAAAAUUAGAGUGUUUAAAUCAGGCUCGCGCUUGAAUACAUUAGCAUGGAAUAAUGAAAUAGGACGUUGACCCUAUUUUGUUGGUUUCUAGGAUUGACGUAAUGAUUAAUAGGGAUAGUUGGGGGCAUUAGUAUUCAAUUGUCAGAGGUGAAAUUCUUGGAUUUAUUGAAGACUAACUACUGCGAAAGCAUUUGCCAAGGAUGUUUUCAUUAAUCAAGAACGAAAGUUAGGGGAUCGAAGACGAUCAGAUACCGUCGUAGUCUUAACCAUAAACUAUGCCGACUAGGGAUCGGAUGAUGUUAUUUUUAAUGUACUCAUUCGCGCCUUACGGG
rnacentral:rRNA from 1 species